rnacentral:lncRNA from 1 species
AUCAUAACAUAGUUGAAAUGCCAUAGCUUGAACAUGUUGACAUGAAUGCUUGAUUGGAUUGAAAUAACUGAGGUCGCAUAAAUACCUUGAGUAUCUAGCUUGUUGGUUGGCUGUUGUGGUAUUGAUGAUUGAGAUGGGGAAUAACUGAAAUACAUGAAGGUGUUAUUGCUUUAAAAUGCAGGUGAAUAAUGAAGGAAGGUGGAUGAAUGAAAGCCAAAUCUCACCUUGA